rnacentral:rRNA from 1 species
CUGAAACAUCUAAGUACCUGGAGGAAGAGAAAGAAAAAUCGAUUUCCUGAGUAGCGGCGAGCGAAACGGAAAGAGCCCAAACCAAGAAGCUUGCUUCUUGGGGUUGUAGGACACUCUAUACGGAGUUACAAAAGAAAGUUAUAAAUGAAGCGGUCUGGAAAGGCCCGCCAAAGACGGUAACAGCCCGGUAGUUGAAAUGGCUUUCCCUCCAGAGUGGAUCCUGAGUACGGCGGAACACGUGAAAUUCCGUCGGAAUCCGGGAGGACCAUCUCCCAAGGCUAAAUACUCCCUAGUGACCGAUAGUGAACCAGUACCGUGAGGGAAAGGUGAAAAGCACCCCGGAAGGGGAGUGAAACAGUUCCUGAAACCGUGUGCCUACAAGUAGUUAGAGCCCGUUAAUGGGUGAUAGCGUGCCUUUUGUAGAAUGAACCGGCGAGUUACGAUUUGUUGCAAGGUUAAGCGGAAAAAGCGGAGCCGUAGCGAAAGCGAGUCUGAAUAGGGCGCAUAAGUAACAGGUCGUAGACCCGAAACCAGGUGAUCUACCCAUGUCCAGGAUGAAGGUAAGGUAAUACUUACUGGAGGUCCGAACCCACGCACGUUGAAAAGUGCGGGGAUGAGGUGUGGGUAGCGGAGAAAUUCCAAUCGAACUUGGAGAUAGCUGGUUCUCUCCGAAAUAGCUUUAGGGCUAGCCUCGAGGUAAAGAGUCAUGGAGGUAGAGCACUGUUUGGACUAGGGGCCCUUCUCGGGUUACCGAAUUCAGAUAAACUCCGAAUGCCAUGUACUUAUACUCGGGAGUCAGACUGCGAGUGAUAAGAUCCGUAGUCGAAAGGGAAACAGCCCAGACCACCAGUUAAGGUCCCCAAAUAUAUGUUAAGUGGAAAAGGAUGUGGGGUUGCUUAGACAACCAGGAUGUUGGCUUAGAAGCAGCCACCAUUGAAAGAGUGCGUAAUAGCUCACUGGUCGAGUGACCCCGCGCCGAAAAUGUACCGGGGCUAAACAUAUUACCGAAACUGUGGAUGAACCUCUUUAGAGGUUCGUGGUAGGAGAGCGUUCUAAGGGCGGUGAAGUCAGACCGGAAGGACUGGUGGAGCGCUUAGAAGUGAGAAUGCCGGUAUGAGUAGCGAAAGAAGGGUGAGAAUCCCUUCCACCGAAUAUCUAAGGUUUCCUGAGGAAGGCUCGUCCGCUCAGGGUUAGUCGGGACCUAAGCCGAGGCCGAUAGGCGUAGGCGAUGGACAACAGGUAGAGAUUCCUGUACCAGUGCUAAUUGUUUAACCGA